rnacentral:tmRNA from 1 species
GGGGGCGAUCGGCUUCGACGUGGGCUGUGAAACCCUGUGUGCAUGCCGAGGCGCAGAGUACCUCGUUAAUCCAUCUGCAAACAAAAUAGUUGCCAACGAAGACAACUACGCGCUAGCUGCCUAAAAGCCAGUAAGGCGCCUUCCGACCGGUUCGUGCUUGUGCGUCCGGACCCGGGAGUCAUCACCGCAAGCUCGCCGGAGGGUACGUUCGGGGCCUGAAGGUCAAAACUUCACCGGACUGGCCCUGGGUUCACCUCGUCCGUCGGGAAACCCAGGGUAAGAACAACGGCGGAACAAGCAUGUAGAGCACCGGACGGAUCGCUUGCGGACGCGGGUUCGAUUCCCGCCGCCUCCACCA